rnacentral:snRNA from 1 species
AGCACUUUUUGUGCACUGGGUGAACUGAAGCAUGCGGGCUUCAAUAAAAAAAAAAAAAAAAAUCUGUUCUUAUCAGUUUAAUAUCUGAUACGUCCCCUAUCUGGGGACCAUAUAUUAAAUGGAUUUUUGGAACAGGGAGAUGGAAGAAGAGCUUGCUCUGUCCACUCCACGCAUCGACCUGGUAUUGCAGUACCUCCAGGACCGGUGCACCUCUC